AACCAACAGGGAUUGCCUCAGUAACGGCGAGUGAAGCGGCAACAGCUCAAAUUUGAAAUCUGGCGCCUUCGGCGUCCGAGUUGUAAUUUGUAGAGGAUGCUAUUGGGUUGCCACCGGUCUAAGUUCCUUGGAACAGGACGUCACAGAGGGUGAGAAUCCCGUAUGUGACCGGCCAGGCGCCUUCUGUAUAGCUCCUUCGACGAGUCGGGUUGUUUGGGAAUGCAGCCCUAAAUGGGAGGUAAAUUUCUUCUAAAGCUAAAUACCGGCCAGAGACCGAUAGCGCACAAGUAGAGUGAUCGAAAGAUGAAAAGCACUUUGGAAAGAGAGUUAAAAAGCACGUGAAAUUGUUGAAAGGGAAGCGCUUGCAAUCAGUCUCGACGGCGGCUGUUCGGCCUCUCUUCUGAGUGGUUUAUUCAGUCGCCGCCGGGCCAGCAUCAGUUUUGGCGGUCGGAUAAAGGCGUGGGGAAUGUAGCUCCUCCGGGAGUGUUAUAGCCCCGCGUGCAAUACGGCCCGCCGGGACUGAGGUCCGCGCUUCGGCUAGGAUGCUGGCGAAAUGGUUGUAAGCGGCCCGUCUUGAAACACGGACCAAGGAGUCUAACAUCUACGCGAGUGUUUGGGUGUCAAACCCGUGCGCGCAAUGAAAGUGAACGGAGGUGGGAACCGCAAGGUGCACCAUCGACCGAUCCUGAUGUCUUCGGAUGGAUUUGAGUAAGAGCGUAGCUGUUGGGACCCGAAAGAUGGUGAACUAUGCCUGAAUAGGGUGAAGCCAGAGGAAACUCUGGUGGAGGCUCGCAGCGGUUCUGACGUGCAAAUCGAUCGUCAAAUUUGGGUAUAGGGGCGAAAGACUAAUCGAACCAU
rnacentral:rRNA from 2 species